rnacentral:rRNA from 1 species
UACGUAGGGUGCAGGCGUUAAUCGGAAUUACUGGGCGUAAAGCGUGCGCAGGCGGUCUGCUAAGAGAGGUGUGAAAUCCCCGGGCUUAACCUGGGAACUGCGCUUCUAACUGGCAGGCUAGAGUGUGGCAGAGGGGGGUGGAAUUCCACGUGUAGCAGUGAAAUGCGUAGAUAUCUGGAGGAACACCGGUGGCGAAGGCGACAUCCUGGACCGGUAUUGACGCUGAGGCGCGAAAGCCAGGGAGCAAACGGG